AGUGUAUCAUGCAGAAUUUACCUGCUGUUGCAGCGAUAUACUAGAACUAAUAUUCCCUGCACUUGUCUGCCACGUGAGAGGCAGCCUAGUUCAGCCUUGAAUUGUCCAAUUGCGAGUCUCCAGCAAUAUUUGCCCUUAUGUUGCCACAAUAUAAGCUUUCAGAAACCCUCCUGAAAUUGUGCUGCGGAUCCGCUCAUAGCUUUCGACUAUGUGACAACUGGUUUAGCA